ensembl:lncRNA
ACCCUAAACUUCCAGUGGAAUGCGUUUUGAUUGUAUUUUAAAUUGGUUUUGAGCAACUUUUCUUCUAGGGAAAAAACAAUCAUUUUACAAGCCUAGGCCCAGGGGACACAGGGAACAUAAUUUGCAACUCUUACUGCCUCUGAUAUAUAGAUAUCUUCCAUGCCAGUAAUCUGAAAAAUGUUCGUAUGCUCCAGAAGACACACACAUGCAUUGUGUUAAUAUAAUUUUAUAGAGUAAGACCACACAGAGAUGUUUGGGGAAACCAUUUUUACAAAUAAAUUGGCAAGAUUCUGAAAUCAAUAGACAACAUUCCUCUGAGCUCCCUCGGCUUGCGCACCAGAGUGAAAUUAACUCUCAAUCAACAAUAGGAUAGAAUAACUGUCCUAUUCUGGCUCCCAUUCUUGCUCCUGCCUAUUCUCAUCUCUGUUUCUAAGCAAGUGCUCGCUUUCAUCUUCUCUCCUCACCCUACACUCUCAGCACUUCCUUCCUCUGUGGAGCCAUCAUCCCUUGAACACGCCCCCAGCGCUGCACUAAUCUUUUAUAGUCUUUGUCUCCACCGCUAGACUAAUGAUGGCAAGUGGUGAAGACAGGCAGAACCACCAGAUUAGAAAGAACAUAAAUCACUGAAACCUUGAGGAGGAAAAUUGCCUGCAGGACUUCACAUGAGUGUGACUAAGCACUAAACUUCCACUAUGGCUUCAGAAGAACUAAAAAUAACUGGGUGAAAAAUCUGAAAGGCAAAGCUGCUCUAUCUGCCAGCAUUCUAAGGAGACAGGAUCCAGCUCAAUCAGAAGAGAGUGUAUCUCUGCCCUUCUGGAUGAUUAAAGCAAACUGGCAUCUUGUAUCAGUUUGGGAGCUAGAGCCCCUGGAUUGUCGGAUGCUCAUAGUUAAUAGACUUACAUUUUUCUUCUUCAUCCAUUAACAUUAUUCCUGUGAACACCUAUGCUUCUGUGUAAAAAUGAAACUGCCCUUAAAUUAUGCUUGGUCUUCACUUUCUGUAUCUAAAGUAAAUAAU